rnacentral:rRNA from 1 species
CACGUAGGGACCAAGCGUUGUCCGGAUUCAUUGGGCGUAAAGAGCUCGUAGGCGGUUCGAUAAGUCGGGUGUGAAACCUCCAGGCUCAACCUGGAGACGCCACCCGAUACUGUCGUGACUAGAGUCCAGUAGGGGAGCGUGGAAUUCCUGGUGUAGCGUGAAAUGCGCAGAUAUCAGGAGGAACACCAGCGGCGAAGGCGGACUCU